rnacentral:rRNA from 1 species
UACGAAGGUCCCGAGCGUUAUCCGGAUUUAUUGGGGUUAAAGGGUGCGUAGGCGGGGUAUUAAGUCAGGGGUGAAAGCCUUCAGCUCAACUGAAGAACUGCCAUUGAUACUGAUGAUCUUGAGUACGAUUGAGGUAGGCGGAAUGUGUCAUGUAGCGGUGAAAUGCUUAGAUAUGACACAGAACACCGAUUGCGAAGGCAGCUUACUAAGUCGUAACUGACGCUGAUGCACGAAAGCGUGGGGAGCAAACAGG